UGGGGAAUCUUGGACAAUGGGCGCAAGCCUGAUCCAGCCAUGCCGCGUGGAUGAUGAAGGCCUUAGGGUUGUAAAAUCCUUUUCGCCGAGGACGAUAAUGACGGUACUCGGAGAAGAAGCUCCGGCUAACUUCGUGCCAGCAGCCGCGGUAAUACGAAGGGGGCUAGCGUUGUUCGGAUUUACUGGGCGUAAAGCGCGUGUAGGCGGGUCGUUAAGUUGGGGGUGAAAUCCCGAGGCUCAACCUCGGAACUGCCUUCAAAACUGGCGACCUGGACCUAAGUAGAGGCAAGUGGAAUUGCGAGUGUAGAGGUGAAAUUCGUAGAUAUUCGCAGGAACACCAGUGGCGAAGGCGACUUGCUGGACUUAUGGUGACGCUGAGACGCGAAAGCGUGGGGAGCAAACAGGAUUAGAUACCCCCGUAGUCCCUGAGCGGGCUGGCAAGGCGCAU
rnacentral:rRNA from 1 species